UACGUAGGGGGCUAGCGUUGUCCGGAUUUAUUGGGCGUAAAGAGCGUGUAGGCGGCCAGGUAGGUCUGGUGUGAAAACUCGAGGCUUAACCUUGAGAUGUCAUCGGAAACCAUUUGGCUAGAGUCCGGAAGAGGAGAGUGGAAUUCCUGGUGUAGCGGUGAAAUGCGCAGAUAUCAGGAAGAACACCAAUGGCGAAAGCAGCUCUCUGGGACGGUACUGACGCUGAGACGCGAAAGCGUGGGGAGCGAACAGG
rnacentral:rRNA from 1 species